CGUACAGUAAACAGGGGGAAUAGCCAUGGCACACAUCCAGCCACCAUGGCCGCCCGGGGGUUGCGUGUCGGCCAUCCCGCGACUCCCCCCAGUGGAUAAGACCACCCCCGCCAUCCUCUCGAAACCCUAGGUGCCUGCUCGUCCCAUUCUUUCACUCCCUCACGCCGAUCCCCUUCUUCCCAUGCUAUCUCGAGCGCGUCCAUGGCCGCGCCACCACCGUUCCCAUGGCCGGAGCCGUCCCUGACCCGCGAGGAUAUGCUCUAGAGCUCCAUCGGCCUCGUCUGCAUCGCCUACAACCUCCGGUUCGAGCUGGAGCCCUCCACAACCUCGCCAUCUGGUCGUCUUCCCCGCCAUGGCCGCCGUCGUUCGUCGUCGGAUUUGUCGCCUCCGGUCCACCUUCGGCCUCGCCGACCGCGCCAUCGAGCUCGCGGUUUCUUCAUUGAGUUAGAGAAAGAGAUAUUCAGAAAAUUCAAUGCAGCAGCAGCAACUCCAAGGCGAGAAAUAUGUUCCUAUUUUGGCUGCUAAGUUUCAGUUUCCCCUUGGCUAUAGAUUUUUCUGUAAAUUGCAUAUGUAGCUUGUAUACACAUAAUGGAGAUCACCAAAGUGUUCAAAGUUUUAAAUAACCCUGAAUGAGUUAUUGGACACAUCAUAAAAAUAUAUUCAUGAAUGACUUUGUGGUUGAGGACAUGAAGACAUGCUCCUUAAAGACGACCAAGUAGUUAUGAAUUCUAACUCCGAAGUUGACAGUUGAAUUGUUCUUAGAAUCCAAGUAAUGAAUUUAUGGUUAGAAAAUUAGCAAUGUAAUAUGAAAUUUGAAUGCGUAACUACAUUACCUAUUUGGUGAGGACUUCUGCGUAGACAAUAUUCUUUGUGUAUGUCUCGUCUGUACGAAUCUUCUUAUUCUUUUUCCUUUUGUCCUCCUUUGUGUUUGUGUCUCCUGUACUGAUCUUCUUAUUCUUCCCUUUGUCCUCAUCAUGUGCUCCCGUUAAUACCUUUAUGUUUGAUGUCGCGGUCGCUCUAGAAAGGGCAACAUAUAGUUGACCAUGUGAGAAAACCGGUUCAGGCAGGUAGACGCCGACAUUUGGUAUUGUCUGACCUUGUGAUUUGUUUAUUGUCAUUGCAAAACCGAGUCUCACUGGAAACUAUUUCCUCUUGAAAUUGAACGGGAACAUGUCAUCGUCAGAUGGGCAUAAUGGUAUCCGAGGCAAGAAAACUCGCAUUCCAGAGUGUUGCCCUACUACUAUCUCUGCAUCAAUUGUAUUGUUUUGGAAUCCACGUACGGCCAACCUUGUGCCGUUGCAGAGUCUAUUAGCGGGGUCGAUGUUCCUGAGUAGUAUGAUUGAACAAUUUAUUUUGAGCUUUAACAUAUGUGGAGGUAGUCCAUUUGAGGUGAGGGUGUUUAGGAACUCUGGUGGAUAGUAGUUAUGUGGGUCGUCUUCUACAGAAUCAAAGAUGUGGUACACCAUCUCCUCUCCUUUGAAGCGAUCAAUCAUUUUUAAGUUGAUUCUGUCUACUGAGUCAUUCCUUGUGGACAAAAUUGCUCUUAACGUGAUGUAUUUUGGAUCUUUUAGGGAAGCGUUCCAUGUUUCGUAGAUACUGUCAAUGAGUCUAUUCAGGCCAUUAUUAUCCGUCUUAUUUGGCACGCAUAUCCUUGUAGGUAGGAAUAUUUCACCAUCAUCAUUUGUCUCCUCAGUUCUGUUACCAAUGCGCGGUAGGUAUUCUGCGAACCACUUGUCGUUCUGAGCCCUCAUGUUGUGCACAAGCUUCAAUUGACGCAUGGAAUUCCAGAGCUCGGACCUGCGUAGUGAUGCGUCUACUAUUUGGGCUCUUGUUCCCUCCCGGACAACAGGGAGCACUUGCCUAAAAUUCCUCCAAAUACGACUUUUUUUCCACCAAAUGGAAGAUCUGGUCUGUCCAUUAUGUCCCGCAUGCUUUUGUCUAGCGCCUCCACUGUCUGCCUCUUAGUCAUAGAUGCUUCAUCCCAGAUUAUUAGUGAUGCUGCUUGGAGUAGCUUGGCUGUCCCACUUUGUUUAGUGAAUCCACAAAUAGCUCCAUCGUCUAUUUUUAGUGGAAUCUUGAACCUCGAGUGUGCCGUCCUCCCUCCGGGCAUUAUGGAAGCAGCAACACCAGAAGUGGCUGUCGCCACAAGAAUUUUUCCUUGUCCGCGUAUUGUGGCCAAGAGCGCCCUGUAAAGAAAAGUUUUCCUAUGCCUCCUGGUCCAUCGACAAAGAAUAUGCCUCCUCUUUGGCGGUCAAUUGUGUGUAGAAUUUCAUCGUAGGCCUUCCUCUGCUCGUUGUUUAGGUUUUUAUGUAAAGAUGCGUCCUCGGGGUCCACCUCAAUCGAGGUCUCCUCGAUGAUUUCCCUAGGUAUGUCGUCUGUCGUCUCAUGUUGUUUGUCAAUCUCCGGAAGAGGAAAUGAUUUUAUGUCUUUUCCCAUUGAGUGCAACAUGUCCCUGUUAUUUCUCAGCACCAUCUGUUCAACCAUGUGCUUGCAUUUGCAGUUUCUACUGUAGUCUUCUGACAUUGACUCUAGGUGUUUGUUCCAGAGGCUACGGACGUUGCUUGGCUCGCAAAACAACAGGAUUGUUGCGAAUAGCCUUUGUAACGACGAUGGCAUUCGAAACAACUCCGCUUCUGUCAUGCAGUCAUCCAAUGUGUUGUCUGCCUCAAUGAGCCCCCGUUUUUCUGCAGCUUCACGGAAGGUUGGCAUUAGCUGUCCAUCGACUGUUCGUAGGUCUUCAUAGCUGGUGGCGCCUGUCACGUGGUUUAGGAGAACUCGAAGAUAAUAUCGUUCUCCUUCAGCUGGAUGUGCUGAGACGAUCCUGCCAACCUGGAACAAAGCGGCUCGUUCCCUCUCUUGCCAGAACUUCCCUUGUGUUUGCCAAGUAUAAUAUUCUGGAAAGUCUCUGUAUAGUAUACCUCGUGCUUUCUCAUGUAAGUUGUUUGCUUGAAAGUAUGCUGUCAACAUUGAUAUUUCUGUUCCUUCACGGUUGAUAACAUUCUUUAUUUUUUUCUUUGCCAUGGUAUGGAACCAUGUGCAUAUUUGGGAGAUGUAGCUGCAGUUGGAAGACCGGUGGGUGCAUUUUGCUUAGUUUGAAGCCAUAUAUUCUCCAUAGUGCUUCUGGUGGUGUCACCCAACGUGCGUCUCUGUAUUGUUGAAUCUCGUCGAUUUUGGCUUCGUCUACGUUGUCAGUUACAGAUACAGAUGCUCGGUCAUGACCCUUGUAGAUGUACUUGAAUAGGUACUUAACAGCUUUAAUGCUUGAGCAUAUCUCAACAUUUAUGUGGCAGUUGAACAUCCUUAACAGAUAGGGGUUGUAAGGAACCACCCACCUAUUAUCUAGUUUGCAAUUCAUGACCGUUUCAGUCCAACCGUCAUUGCGUCUCCUAUAUAUUGGGUAGGAGUCCUUGCCUUGAAUUGUAGUUACAUUAAAUGGCUUUGGAUAAUUGUUCUUGCAUGACGGAAGAUUCUUUGUGCAUGGACAUAAUUUAUUCAAUGCACCACAAGGAUCAUGCAUCAUAUGUUUGAUUACCAUUUUGUACAACUCUGAGUAUUUGUGCUUGUUAGGGAGCUCAGCGGAGAUGAUUCUGUCAUACUGUUCUGGACAUGUGUACUUAUAUUUUCCGGUCAUGAUCAGUAAAAAGUGAGCAUGGGGUAGUCCCCUCUUUUGGAACUCUAUGACAUAUGUAUAUGCCUGGACCUUUCCAAGAAUGUUCUUCUUAAAUAGUUGCUUCUUCAUUUCUUCUAGCUUCGCCCUAAAAACACGAACUGCAAUAUCUGGGCGAUCUUGUGGUGUUUGUCCAAACUGUAGUUCACGUGUUAUGUUUUCCCAAUUGGGGUUGCAGGUCAUUGUGAGAAAUAUGUCUGGCUUUCCAUAUUUUCUAACUAAAGCGAUGGCAUCUAGAUAUCGGCGAAGUCUAUCUCGUGGCCCUCCAAUAAAUGAUGAUGCAAGUACUCUUCGUUUUCUGACUGCAUUUCCCUUUUUUUCUCCAGCUUGAAUGCUGUCCAGAAGGCCUUGGUAUAGAUCUGCUCUUAUUUCCUUUUGAUGAUGCCACAUGUAAUCCAGUCUGGAGCUUUCAAUCCUGAUAUAUGUAUCUACUGCAAAUUGCUGGAAAAGCCGUCCGCCGUGCAAUAUUGGGUUGAAUAUGUUUGGUCGUGUAUGGAAUUUAUAGCAGUAGUAUUCUCUCAUAGUUACCCACAAGCCAUUGACUGAAUCUGUGAAAAUAUUAGAACAUGAAAAAUUUGCUGCAUAUGUAGGAGUGUACCAUAUAUGAAAAUAAUUUUGAAUAGAAUAAUAUACGAAAUUUUACCUGGUUCAUCUUCAUUAUUGAUAUUAUCAGCACUGACAUCAGCACUGACAUCUUCCUCUCGUGUGUCCCUCUUUGGGAUUUCCCUAUGCCAACCCAGUUCAGCUCUUGGAAACAACAGAGGAUACGACAAUGGAUCAUAGCACCCGUAAUAUGAUCGAAUGUGCUCUAUUUCGUUGUUGUUCCCAUGUAGUAUUAUUCUUGUCAUAAGUAUCUCUUCUUUCAUUUCCUUCAAUCCACACUGCAGCUACCUCCGAAUUGAUUGGUGCAUUGUAAGUUCUUUGGUCCAAUCUUUGGUCAAGGUUCAAUAUGAGUCUGUAGUCCUCAAGGUUUUGGGCUUGUCCCAAACUCCUGAACUGUUGAGAGUAUGGAUUAUCGCGUAGAAUGUCGAUUAUUAUUCGAAUCACCUGCUUGUCUUGCUCGUACAUUUCCUCGAGGCAACGGCGGUAACGAUGCUCCAAGCUUGGAUCAUCAUCGUAGAAGUAUAACUCCAGAUGCUUUGGAUCUGAGCGACUGUUACCAAAUGAGUGUAUAUUAUGAUAGAUCUGACCAUGUGCUCGAAACGUAUAAAUACCAGCUUUUCGCAUGUCAGUUGUUUCUUUGUCAAGGUUGCAGUAUAGAGUAGUGAAUGAGAAGUGUCCGUUGAAAAAUCUUAUAUUGUUCCGAAAAUGGCUUGCAUCUGAUUCGUUGCUUGUCCAAAGUCUCCUGAGUUCCGGUGGUGUAUCUGGAUUGGCUAGUCUUAUCCAUCCUUUUCUGCAGCAUAACCCCUUAGUUUCAUACUUGAAUUUUGUUGCAUAGCAGAAGCUGCAAUUUGGUACCAUUUUGAGCAUGUGUGUGUUCUUUGGUAUGUUGCUAUAGAUGAAAUCAUACGGGUUAGGGUUAUGAACUUCAUCAUCUUCUGUGAUUUUGAUUUCCAUUUCUCUUUCCCACUCUGCAUUGAUUUGUAACAUGAAAAUUUAGUAAAGGGUUAAAAUAAUGAUGCAAAUAUAUUUUAAUUGUAUUGAGCAUACCUUGGCCAGAGAACAUGUAUUCAUACUCGUUCGUGUCUUCUUCAAAUAGGCUAAGAUGUUCACUGGAAACACAAAAGCUGGUGAUGCCAAAUACCCGUACAUGUGUUUUUUUUUUUGCAUUCCUCUGGAUAAACUUGCAUAUCUUAUAUUGUGUUGUUCUUGUAUUUGAUUCAAAAAGAUAUAAUAAUUUCAAAUCUAUCUGUCCUAAAGAGUGCAAACUGUCCG